UAGGGAAUCUUCGGCAAUGGGGGCAACCCUGACCGAGCAACGCCGCGUGAGUGAAGAAGGUUUUCGGACCGUAAAGCUCUGUUGUAAGUCAAGAACGAGUGUGAGAGUGGAAAGUUCACACUGUGACGGUAGCUUACCAGAAAGGGACGGCUAACUACGUGCCAGCAGCCGCGGUAAUACGUAGGUCCCGAGCGCUGUCCGGAUUUAUUGGGCGUAAAGCGAGCGCAGGCGGUUUGAUAAGUCUGAAGUUAAAGGCUGUGGCUCAACCAUAGUUCGCUUUGGAAACUGUCAAACUUGAGUGCAGAAGGGGAGAGUGGAAUUCCAUGUGUAGCGGUGAAAUGCGUAGAUAUAUGGAGGAACACCGGUGGCGAAAGCGGCUCUCUGGUCUGUAACUGACGCUGAGGCUCGAAAGCGUGGGGAGCGAACAGGAUUAGAUACCCUGGUAGUCCACGCCGUAACGAUGAGUGCUAGGUGUUGUCCUUUCCGGGAUUCAGUGCCGCAGCUAACGCAUUAAGCACUCCGCCUGGGGAGUACGACCGCAAGGUU
rnacentral:rRNA from 1 species